GCCGCGGACGCCGCUCCGCACCGAGCCCCUCUCCUCGCCGCGCGCCGGACCGCGUCCCGCCCCGCGGCCCCGCCCCCCGCUCCGCGGGGCGCCGCGCCCGGUGCUGGAUCGGGCCCGAGGAAGGCAGCGGAGCCGGUGUGGACGUGGAAGGCAGAUCACUUCCAACGCUGAGAAAAUUGAGGUGGUGCAGGUACCCUUUGGCCUCUUCCCAGCUGCCUCUCUGAAUGCUACUUCCCUUCCUCCCUGUCUGAGACUCCAUCUGGAAGCUCCCUUAGAGUUUAUUUUUUUUAACUUUACAGUUUUUUAGUUCACACGCUUUUUAUUUUCAUUAGAGUCAUAAGGCUUAUGCUCCACUAAAUAAAGAGUUCAACAAAUAAAAACAGACCACAGUUCAGCAGGAAAAUAGGCAAGAGCUAUAAACAAUCAAAUAAAAAGAUGUUCAUCUUCACUCAUAAAUUUUUUAAAUCACAAUCAUUACACUGUCACAAUUAAAUAAUUACACAAAGUCACAAUUAAAUAAUUAGAAAUAUAGUAGUAUAUGAUGCCUGUCAGCUUGUUUGGCAGAGAUUAAAAUAAAGUUUGACAAAACACUGUAGCAAAACUGA